rnacentral:rRNA from 1 species
AUUGAACGCUGGCGGCAGGCCUAACACAUGCAAGUCGAGCGGAUGAAGGGAGCUUGCUCCUGGAUUCAGCGGCGGACGGGGGAGUAAUGCCUAGGAAUACGCCUGGUAGUGGGGGAUAACGUCCGGAAACGGGCGCUAAUACCGCAUACGACCAGAGGGAGAAAGAGGGGGGUCUUCGGAAAGCACGCUAUCAGAUGAGCCUAGGUGGGGUUAGCUAGUUGGUGGGGUAAAGGCCUACCAAGGCGAGGAUCCGUAAGUGGUCUGAGUGGAUGGUCACUCACACUGGAACUGAGACAGCGUCCAGACUCCUACGGUAGGCAGCAGUGUGGAAUAUUGGACAAUGGGCGAAAGCCUGAUCCAGCCGUGCCGCGUGUGUUAAGAAGGUCUUCGGAGUGUAAAGCACGUUAAGUUGGGAGGAAGGGCAUUAAGUUAAUACCUAGCUGGUUUGACGUUACCGACAGAAUAAGCACCGGCUAACUUCGUG